rnacentral:rRNA from 1 species
CCUACGGGGGGCAGCAGUGAGGAAUAUUGCUCAAUGGGCGCGAGCCUGAACCAGCCAAGUAGCGUGAAGGAUGACUGCCCUACGGGUUGUAAACUUCUUUUAUAAAGGAAUAAAGUGAGGCACGUGUGCCUUUUUGUAUGUACUUUAUGAAUAAGGAUCGGCUAACUCCGCGCCAGCAGCCGCGGUAAUACGGAGGAUCCGAGCGUUAUCCGGAUUUAUUGGGUUUAAAGGGAGCGUAGAUGGGUUGUUAAGUUAGUUGUGAAAGUUUUGGGCUCAACCGUAAAAUUGCAAUUUAUACUGGCAGCCUUGAGUACAGUUGAGGUAGGCGGAAUUCGUGGUGUAGCGGUGAAAUGCGUAGAUAUCACGAAGAACUCCGAUUGCGAAGGCAGCUUACUAAACUGCCACUGACAUUGAGGCUCGAAAGUGUGGGUAUCAAACAGGAUUAGAUACCCCUGUAGUC